rnacentral:misc_RNA from 1 species
GAAAUGCGAUAAGUAAUGUGAAUUGCAGAAUUCAGUGAAUCAUCGAAUCUUUGAACGCACAUUGCACCCGGUGGUAUUCCGCCGGGUAUGCCUGUUCGAGCGUCAUUUCCACCCUCAGGCCCCUAUCUUUCUUUCUCGGGAGAGAGAAAAAGGGUCUGGUGUUGGGGAUCUACAGAGGGCCCUCCUUCUCCGGCGGAACCCUGUAGUCCCUUAAAUUAAUCGGCGUGCGCGCUGUACGUUUGCCCCCUGCGUAGUAGUGAUUUUUUAUUUUAUUUCUCGCAUCGGGCCGUAGCGCUGUCCAGCCGCUAAACUGCAACUACGCAUUUAGCUAGGUUUGACCUCGAAUCAGGUAGGGUUACCCGCUGAACUUAA